rnacentral:rRNA from 1 species
AUUGAACGCUGGCGGCAGGCCUAACACAUGCAAGUCGAGCGGAUGAAGGGAGCUUGCUCCUGGAUUCAGCGGCGGACGGGUGAGUAAUGCCUAGGAAUCUGCCUGGUAGUGGGGGAUAACGUCCGGAAACGGGCGCUAAUACCGCAUACGUCCUGAGGGAGAAAGUGGGGGAUCUUCGGACCUCACGCUAUCAGAUGAGCCUAGGUCGGAUUAGCUAGUUGGUGGGUUAAAGGCCUACCAAGAGGACGAUCCGUAACUGGUCUGGGAGGAUGAUCAGUCACACUGGAACUGUGACACGGUCCAGAAUCGUAAGCGAGGCAGCCGUGGGGAAUAUUGGACAAUGGGCGGAAGACUGAUCCAGCCAUGCCGCGUGUGUGAAGAAGGUCUUCGGAUUGUAAAGCACUUUAAGUUGGGAGGAAGGGCAGUAAGUUAAUACCUUGCUGUUUUGACGUUACCAACAGAAUAAGCACCGGCUAACUUCGUG